rnacentral:rRNA from 1 species
AUACGUAGGGUGCAAGCGUUAAUCGGAAUUACUGGGCGUAAAGCGUGCGCAGGCGGUUUUGUAAGACAGUGGUGAAAUCCCCGGGCUCAACCUGGGAACUGCCAUUGUGACUGCAAGGCUGGAGUGCGGCAGAGGGGGAUGGAAUUCCGCGUGUAGCAGUGAAAUGCGUAGAUAUGCGGAGGAAAACCGAUGGCGAAGGCAAUCCCCUGGGCCUGCACUGACGCUAAUGCACGAAAGCGUGGGGAGCAAACAGGAUUAGAUACCCUGGUAGUCCCCGCCCUAAACGAUGUCAACUGGUUGUUGGGGAUUUAUUUUCUCAGUAACGAAGCUAACGCGUGAAGUUGACCGCCUGGGGAGUACGGCCGCAAGGUUAAAACUCAAAGGAAUUGACGGGG